rnacentral:misc_RNA from 1 species
CGUUUGCGUGAGGGAUGGAAGAGGAGCUCUCCCGAUUUUUUAUCGGGAAGCGGGAACGUACAGCCCGACCUCGU